UAGUCAGUCCACCAGGGCAAGGGUGUGGGGCUAGUAGGCACACUCCAGUUGCCCCCACCAUGUGUUGCUGUACCCAGUUCAUAACACCUGAUUCUCGGCUCAUCCUCUGGCUGGUGUUGAUGGCUCAGCCUACAGCCACCAUGUCUGGAAUUGAUUAUGCCCUUUGUGCUCCAACCGUCAAUUCCUGGAUAGCAGGAAGUACAUGCCAGUUUGAGGGUAAAACUUGUGUUAUGUAUAAAUGGCCACCAUUGAGACAAAGUACAUAAUAUGACCUAAAGGACUGAGCAAGUUUCCGUGGAUUUUUUUCUUAGGAUAUUUAUUGUGAUCUGUGAAAGCUGAGAACAGGCUGGAAGAGUCAAGAAACAAUAACCUUUCUGCCAAGAUUUGCAAGCUGCACUAUGCUGGUGGCAUUCCUUGACGGUUUCCAUUGUGAGAUGGUUAUCAGUAUGCAUAAUACACCUGUUGAUUUAUUUAAAGAGGUGGUCUCCAGCAACACUUUAGGUUGCUAACAAAAAUACCUAUAAACAUUACAGUAAAAAGCAGUUAAAAUAUUAUGUACAUCAGCGUCAUAACUGAA